rnacentral:rRNA from 2 species
AAAGUUUGACCUCAAAUCAGGUAGGAUUACCCGCUGAACUUAAGCAUAUCAAUAAGCGGAGGAAAAGAAACCAACAGGGAUUGCCUUAGUAACGGCGAGUGAAGCGGCAAAAGCUCAAAUUUGAAAUCUGGCACUUUCAGUGUCCGAGUUGUAAUUUGAAGAAGGUAACUUUGGAGUUGGCCCUUGUCUAUGUUCCUUGGAACAGGACGUCACAGAGGGUGAGAAUCCCGUGCGAUGAGGUGUCCAAUUCUAUGUAAAGUGCUUUCGAAGAGUCGAGUUGUUUGGGAAUGCAGCUCUAAGUGGGUGGUAAAUUCCAUCUAAAGCUAAAUAUUGGCGAGAGACCGAUAGCGAACAAGUACAGUGAUGGAAAGAUGAAAAGAACUUUGAAAAGAGAGUGAAAAAGUACGUGAAAUUGUUGAAAGGGAAGGGCUUGAGAUCAGACUCGGUAUUUUGCAAGCCUAUCCUUCGUGGAGAGGUUUAUUAGCAGCUUACCGGGCCAGCAUCGGUUUGGAUGGUAGGAUAAUAUUCAUUGGAAUGUGGCUCUUCGGAGUGUUAUAGCCUUUGUUCAUACUGCCUAUCUAGACCGAGGACUGC